UACGAAGGGGACUAGCGUUGUUCGGAAUCACUGGGCGUAAAGCGCACGUAGGCGGCUCGGCAAGUCGGAUGUGAAAUCCCUCGGCUCAACUAAGGAAGUGCAUCCGAAACUGCAGAGCUUGAGUACUUAAGAGGAUCGCGGAAUUCCCGGUGUAGAGGUGAAAUUCGUAGAUAUCGGGAGGAACACCAGUGGCGAAGGCGGCGAUCUGGGAAGAUACUGACGCUGAGGUGCGAAAGCGUGGGGAGCAAACAGG
rnacentral:rRNA from 1 species